CAGCCGCCGCGGUAAUACGUAGGUCCCGAGCGUUGUCCGGAUUUAUUGGGCGUAAAGCGAGCGCAGGCGGUUAGACAAGUCUGAAGUUAAAGGCUGUGGCUUAACCAUAGUACGCUUUGGAAACUAUUUAACUUGAGUGCAAGAGGGGAGAGUGGAAUUCCAUGUGUAGCGGUGAAAUGCGUAGAUAUAUGGAGGAACACCGGUGGCGAAAGCGGCUCUCUGGCUUGUAACUGACGCCGAGGCUCGAAAGCGUGGGGAGCAAACAGGAUUAGAUACCCCCGUAGUCCCUGUCUCUUAUACC
rnacentral:rRNA from 1 species